rnacentral:rRNA from 1 species
ACAUGCCUACAUCAUAGCAUUAAUGCACUAGAUCCCAUUAGAACUCCACAGUUAAGUGCUCUCAGGCUAGAGUAGUACUGGGAUGGGUGAUUGCUUGGGAAGUCCUAGCAUUUUACAUGCC